CUCCGUCAGCGCUCGUCGCCGCGCGCCCACGGGUGCACUGUGGCCGACCGAGCUUUAAUGGCGCUUGGCCUAUUCCUCUGCUCCCCUCGACUCCGUGACCUCUGCGGCUCAUUCUCUCUCUCGCUCGUCGCCUUCCCUGUGCCCUCCCGUGCUCGCUGGCCAUCGCCAGAGCUUCGGCCGGACGUGCCCGGCGGCACCCGAGACCGUGCCUCUCACCCCGCCUAUAAAUGGCCUUCCCCCGAGACAUUUGAGCUCACCACUGGCCUCGCCUCACUCCCAGCUCCCUCCUUGACCACUUCCCCGAGCUCGAGGAGCCCUCCCAUGGCCGAAGCCUCGCUACGGUGCUCCGCUUAAAUCUGCCCGAACCAAGCCCUUCCCCUCCUCCCUGACCUCACCACUCUCUUCCUGGUGCUCGGGCGGUCCGCCCCACCUCUUCUCCCUCUCACUGGAGUGCCCGAGUGGCCGUGCCCCCAAGUCAACCACCACCGGAGCCGGUUCUGUCCCCCUCUUCGUCGUGGUCACCCCGCUCCUCUCCGGUGUCUCCUCUGCGCGGGGAUGGAUGCGGCAGGCCACGACGAGCCCGCCGGUGGCCUCCGUUUGGCCGGAGGUGGCCGGAGUCGCCGGGGCUGACACCGGCAGCGCCCCUGCCCUCCUCCUUUGCUCUCUGUCGUGGCCAGGCACGGGAGGAAGAAGAAGGAGGCGUGGGAGGAGAGAGAAGAUGCGGUGGGCCCCACCUGUCAACCACUCAAGGGCCGGCCGCGCGUUGACCUGUCCACGCUGACGUGGCAAGUGGAAGCGUAUUUUUGAAAAGUCCCUGAACUUCAACCCCUCAUAUCUAUUUGCUCGUAAAUCCAAAUGAGCCCUCUCCGAGAGAGAACGCUUUCCAGCGAUUCGUUCCGCGAGUUUCUCGCACUUUCUCCCGGUGAUUUCUUCCACCCCAGGCAAGCCACAAUACCCACUUGCAUGAUAUUCAUGCAGUAGCCAUGG